UUCUUGUGUUUCAGGUAAAGACAAAUGUAUACUGAAUGUUUGGGACAUGUGUCAACCAUGGCAUGUGGGGUCCUCUGUUCCCUUUACACAUCGUUCCCAAUCACAGCCUAAGGCCAAAAGCACAUUCUUGUGUUUCAGGUAAUGAUUUCAAAAAUAUGUGAUUAAAUAUUCGGAAGAUCAGUUAAAAACGUUAAACAAACGUCUUGAUCGGUUUUCUAGAUUUGUUACUUAUGUGAUAAAAUAUAUUCAAGUGACAAUACGUCACCAGGAAUAUAAGUAAUGUGUUUCUGUCUACCUAGUAUUUACAGUGUCAUCCCGAACAGUAAGGAGAAACUUUAUGUUAAAUGCAGUGUUAUACGUCCUGUUCAUCAUAGUUCCACAUGGUUAAUAAAUUUGAAUGUUUACACUGUUACUCGACAUUUACACCUGCAUUUAGCAUUCAUUUCCCAAAAAUGACUGUUUAGAUAUAAGUGUCUGCAUUAACGUAUGAAUCGUACGAUAUUUUUAAAUUCAGUGAAAAUGAACAAUUCUAGAAACUAAUAGUGAUGAUUAUUUAUAUUAUUUAUAUAAAUAUAUAUAUUAUUAUAAUUCAUUUGUGGGUAAUAAGGGUUCUCAUAUUUUCAUGCAAUAAAGUCAAAACACUGUUUGAUAUUAUUUUCGUCUUAGAAUUAAACACAUUAUACAUUUUUAUUUCAUGGUUUACGGAUAUAGCCUAUUAGUUUCGGUUGACGGAAAUAGAAACAGGGUUGUGUAGAUCAUUAAACCAGGCUUUCCAUGGGGCGUUUUGGUUGUUGUCGAAGAAGAAAUGAAUUUAGUGUUGUAGGAUUAUUUAAUGUUAAUGUUUGAAUGCAGGCUAUUUAUUGGGAUAACAGUAAUAUGCAUGUUCCUGUUCAGUCAAAGAAUGAGUUAGGGCAUUUAGUGUAAUACCGCUAAGGAAAUCAGUCCAAGACGUUCUCAUUAGUGGAUUCGAGUUGUCAAAUGCUAUAUACAAAUGUAUCCUAUCAAAAAUUAUAAAACAGAUAACAGUUACUUUUUCGUCAAUGAUAAAUCGAUUUCUGGUCAAAAUAUUGUUAAUCAUUAUUGUAGCUUUGUUUCAAAUCCGUAAACCGGAAAAUAAAAACAGCCUCGCCUUAAAGAAAAGUUCAAAAGGCAGCUAAUCUUCUAAUUUUCACUUGUUUGCUAUUUGCACCGUCAGUUUGUAUAACUGUACUAUCAGCUAGUAAACAGGCAUUACGUAUCCCCAGAAUAAUUAUUUGUUACGGUGUCACAUUUAGCGUUGUUGAUAUAUUUAUUUACUUUGUUCUGUAUAUUUGUAUAUUUCACUGUGUGAAAAGGUGCAGCUAUACACUCACUGGAAUACUGUUGUUUAGUUGGUAAAACUAAUAACAUGGUACUUAUCGAUUGUCCGGUAUUCGUUCGCAUAGCAUUAUCAUGGUAGGCCCAAUUGCCACAUCGUCAACAGGACUAUUUUAGGAAAUUAGAAAUAUUUUGAAUAUUCUGACAAUGUUUCAAACAAGGAAUAUUAAGAAGUUAGAAAACUGAUAUUUUGAAUGACAUUGUAUGUUGCAAUUUGUACAUGUAUUUGAAUAUUAUUGACAUCACAAAUCACGCAUCUUGAAUUCCUAUUCAAAAUGUGUUGCAAAUGUCGUGAAAAGAAGUGUUUUUAAACUGUUUCAGGUACAUGUGAUGAAACAAAAAUGCAUUUGUUGCGUUUCUUUUUGUCGUCAGUAUAUACAACAUUGUAGCAUAUGGUGUGGAGUAAAGGGUGGUGUGUUGUACAUACUGCAAAUAUAGACUGAUAAGUAGUUGUGCCGUCGGGUGGAAAACAGUAUCCGAACUGCCAAAAUGUACAACAGUUGUACAUUUUGUUUCACCGUUGAAAUUAACACUGUUCGUUUUUUAAAUAUAAAUUUAUUUGUUGACGAGGUCAACGUAAUACUAAUCCUUAUUGUACAGAGAGAGAUAAAACAAGCUAUUAAAACUCGAAAAUACCAA